rnacentral:rRNA from 1 species
UACGUAGGGUGCGAGCGUUAAUCGGAAUUACUGGGCGUAAAGCGUGCGCAGGCGGUUUUCCAAGACAGAUGUGAAAUCCCCGGGCUCAACCUGGGAAUGGCAUUUUGUGACUGGGAGGCUAGAGUGUGUCAGAGGGGGGUAGAAUUCCACGUGUAGCAGUGAAAUGCGUAGAGAUGUGGAGGAAUACCGAUGGCGAAGGCAGCCCCCCUGGGAUAACACUGACGCUCAUGCACGAAAGCGUGGGGAGCAAACAGG